AGACCAGCGUCACAGCUGAGGAUCAGAACAACACAAGAGACUGGCAGCCUGGGAACUCCCUGUUCGCCUUUAAGGGAACCUUGCAGUGGUGUCUUGACAGCAGAACCAGGGAAGAAGCUGGAUAGCCCCUAGAAGAGCUUCCUGGUGAGUCACAGGGCUGGCCAGCUGGGACCCUUUAGAGGGCUCAACCCAGCCCCCACAGCAGCUGGCUGGAGCAGCAGGCUUGAGAGCCAGAUACAGGGUGGAGCCAAGCUAGAAGCUGAGCAGGAAAGAGGAGGAAGAAAACAAUCCUGCCACUGUGCCAGAAUGGCCAGGCCCCAGAGGGAGGGGCGGGGCUGGCAGCAGACAGGACUCUCCAGUUCCCAUCCCGUCAUGGGGCAUGUGGCAGCCUGUGCCUGUUGCUCCCUUCGCUGGUCUUGCCAGGGAGUAAACAGUGCUCCGGAGCUCCCUGGAAGGGGGUCUCUGGAGUCUUCCCAGCAGCAGUGGCGGGGAAGGUCAAGGAAAGCAAGCAGAGAAGUGAGGACACAGGAUGGAAUGCCUCUGACAGGAGAGCCCUGCAGCUUGCCAAAGCUCCAGGUGCCACACUGAUGCUCAGGGGAGCAGUGAGGCCCAUUUUAGUAAAGUAGCUCCCACAGUCCUGGAGCCAGCUGUUAGGAGCACACCCUGAGUGGGUCUGGUGUUAUGAGUCCUUCAUGCUUUGCUGUACUUUCUAGGCCUCCUCUGCCAAGCUCAUCACAGCCUGUGGACCCAUAAUGAAAUGGCAGGCACAUCCAGAUAUGGCAGAGAUGAGGACAGAGACAAACCAAGGAAAUGGUGUCUUUAUUUCUUUCACAGAACCAACCCUUCCCAUGCACACCCUGUGACAGAGUUACCCCUGCCCUACAGGAAGGACUGGCAGAUCCAGGUCAGCCACACCUUCAGGGCCGCUGCUGGAAGCAGGAGAGUCCCAGCUUCUCUUUCAGGGCACCAGUGCAGCUCAGAGAUCAGAUAGAGGACAUGCACGGCUCCUCUCAGGACAACGGGAGUGAUUCACAAGGAAAACCAGUGAGGAUCGGGUAACAGGCCAGGUCUCUGAGCAGGUCACACUGAGGAAAGCUGUUCUCCAUCUCCCCAGAGCAAGAAUGUGUCAAGCCAGAGAGAAGAAAGCCUUUCUAGAGAGGAGGGGUAUGAGAAGUGAGCCGGGCAGGGAAGCAUGGGAGUCAGGCACUGCGCAGGGCAGAGCCACUGGAGAAGUGGGACUCCCAGAGUGGAGAGUGAGUCUAAGAUCAGCCACUGGAACUGGUUUGGAGAGUCUCGAAUCUAUGAAAAGACAGAGUAAUCACAAGCAAGAUAAAAGAAGCAAGUUUUUCCUGCCCCAGCCUUUGGAGCAAAAGCCUUGUUCCCCUAAACCCUACUCUUUCCCUCUCCAAGCCUCCUUCUGAGUCCACAGAAAGAAUGACAUCCUGGUGGAUGGGAAGAAGGCAAAGCAGGUUACCUUUGGUAUAGAGGUGCCUGACAUUCCAUUAUGGCUUUUAUCUCAGUAAUCUAGGUCUAUAUGAAAUCCUCCAUGGGGGGAGAGGGGGUGCUGGCUGAUGGCUAAACAGUCCUAAAAGGCACUGCCAGGAAAGGCCCGGUUGUUAGAGUCCCAACAGUGCUACCAAGCCAUGAUGUCCCAAUGACCUGGCCCUUCACUUUCACAGGGUAUGUGGGAAAUGGGGUGGUUGAGUGAUCUCAGGGCUCAAUGACAGCUCUAAGAGCUGACUGUGACCCAGGAAACUGACCAUGCAGGGCCCCCUCCCUCUUCCCAAGAGAGGGGCUGCAGUGACUCACUGCCUGGGGUGUGGCUCCAGGGUCUAGGGUGGCUCAGCUGCUGACUCACAGGCCUCCCCCCGGUCCUCCCUGCCCGGUUGUGCUGGGAGGAAUUUGCCAGUGGACCUGCCUGAUCCCAGCAUAGUUCUGAGUCCUCCACCACCUGCCCUUUUGAACCAGAGAUGAUGUCAUGCGUCAGUGUCCCCACCUGGAAGAUGGGUUCAACACCACUUAACAGUACCUCCCAAGGAACCCUCAAAAGACAGAAUAUACACACUGAGUGGGUGGAGAGAUGGUUCAGCAGUUAAGAACACUGGCUGCUCUCCCAUAGGACCUGGGUUCAAGUCCUAGCAUCCACAUGGCAGCUCACAACUGUCUGUAACUCUAGUUCCAGGGGAUCUGACACCCUCACACAGACAUACAGGCGGGCAGAACACCAAUGCACAUAAAAUAAAAAUAAGUUAAUUUAAAAAGAAAAGGAAAGAGAGGAAGGAAGGUCGGAGCUCUUAGAACAAUGCCCAGCCUAACCAGGGAUACACUCUGGCUGUUUUCAGCUGUGAACUGACUAACUCCUAACUCCGUAAAGUACGACAGCAGGUGAACAGUGCUAUUACAGAGACACCGAGGUUUAGCAGAAUGAAGAAAGGUGGCCAGGGACACCUCACCAGGGUAUAACAAAGUCAAGGCUUACCCCCAAGGCUGGCUGACUCUGGUGUCCCUUUUGAGACUUAUUUGGAUAGUCUAUCUAUCCCAAUUUCUCAGCCAUCUGCCAUGGCUUUGGCCUCAAAUCCUCCAGUAAUAAUAGCAGGCUAACACAGAAGUGGAUACUUGACGAUUCAGCCCCUCCACGGUGCACUCCAGUCCCGUCCACCAGCACAAUGUCAGAAUCUAGACACCCACCCACUUAAGACAAGCUGAUCCUAGGCUACAAUACAAUCCUGGCUGUCUGACCCUGGUGCAAGAGAGUAAAGCCCUUGUUUUGUACCAGCUAGAAAGUUGCCAGCCUCUGCCACACUCUCCACUGAGCCAUGGCAUGGCGAUAUUUGUCAGACCAGAAAGAACUUCAGGAACCCAGAAUACCCAACAUGGCUUCUAAGCAGGCCUCAGCUCCUGCCUGGCCUCCACCAAGGCUUCCACCAGGGCUGAGGUCUGGGCUAGCACUGCCCUAGGGGCAGUGGUCAUUCAUUCUCCUAGCCAGGCUGAGGCAUGGGGACAAGAGAAGGAAACGAGUAGGAAGAAGGACAAGGACAGAGAAGAGACCUGGAGACACCGAGGUUCUUCCGGGUUCACCCAGGACUGUGAGGGCUUCACAGACUCCAGGGGUUACAGAGAACUGGGACCAUUUUCCUAAGCUGAGAAGGCCUUUGCCCCGUCCCAGCACUUCCAUGUCUCAGCCUGUACCUUUCUCAGGUAAUCCAUCCAUGUC
ensembl:sense_intronic Gm29358 predicted gene 29358